rnacentral:rRNA from 1 species
UACAGAGGUUGCAAACGUUGUUCGGAAUUACUGGGCGUAAAGCGUGCGUAGGCGGCCUCGUAGGUCGGAUGUGAAAGCUCUCGGCUCAACCGGGAAAGUGCAUUCGAAACCACGAGGCUAGAGUGUAGGAGAGGAAGCCGGAAUUGUCGGUGUAGCGGUGAAAUUCGUAGAUAUCGAGAGGAACACCUGCGGCGAAAGCGGCCUUCUGGACUAACACUGACGCUGAGACACGAAAGCGUGGGGAGCAAACAGG